rnacentral:sRNA from 1 species
CACUUGUUUUCAUCCCAUACCAAACCCACAUGUGUUAGCAUCUAGCAUUUGGAUGUUAGAUGUUAGCAUGGGUUUGGUAUGGGAUGAAAACAAGUGC